GCGUUCGUGUUGUAAUGGUUAGCAUGGAUGCCUUCUAAGCAUUCGUCGGGUAUUCGAUUCCUACCAAACGCA
rfam:Necator americanus N_americanus-1.0_Cont60.6, whole genome shotgun sequence.